rnacentral:rRNA from 1 species
UACGUAGGGGGGCAAGCGUUGUCCGGAAUCAUUGGGCGUAAAGAGCGUGUAGGCGGCCCGGUAAGUCCGCUGUGAAAGUCCAGGGCUCAACCCUGGGAUGCCGGUGGAUACUGUCGGGCUCGAGUCCGGAAGAGGAGUGUGGAAUUCCUGGUGUAGCGGUGAAAUGCGCAGAUAUCAGGAGGAACACCAAUGGCGAAGGCAGCACUCUGGGACGUGACUGACGCUGAGACGCGAAAAGCGUGGGGGAGCAAACAGG